UGGCUCUGUUGGUAGAGCAUGGCACUUGCAAUGCCAGGGUUGUGGGUUUGAUUCCCAC
rnacentral:tRNA from 1 species